UAGGGAAUCUUCCACAAUGGACGCAAGUCUGAUGGAGCAACGCCGCGUGAGUGAAGAAGGCUUUCGGGUCGUAAAACUCUGUUGUUGGAGAAGAAUGGUCGGCAGAGUAACUGUUGCCGGCGUGACGGUAUCCAACCAGAAAGCCACGGCUAACUACGUGCCAGCAGCCGCGGUAAUACGUAGGUGGCAAGCGUUAUCCGGAUUUAUUGGGCGUAAAGCGAGCGCAGGCGGUUUUUUAAGUCUGAUGUGAAAGCCCUCGGCUUAACCGAGGAAGCGCAUCGGAAACUGGGAAACUUGAGUGCAGAAGAGGACAGUGGAACUCCAUGUGUAGCGGUGAAAUGCGUAGAUAUAUGGAAGAACACCAGUGGCGAAGGCGGCUGUCUGGUCUGUAACUGACGCUGAGGCUCGAAAGCAUGGGUAGCGAACAGGAUUAGAUACCCUGGUAGUCCAUGCCGUAAACGAUGAAUGCUAGGUGUUGGAGGGUUUCCGCCCUUCAGUACCGCAGCUAACGCAUUAAGCAUUCCGCCUGGGGAGUACGACCGCAAGGUUG
rnacentral:rRNA from 1 species